rnacentral:rRNA from 1 species
GAUGAACGCUAGCGGCGUGCCUAAUACAUGCAAGUCGAGCGAACAGACGAGGAGCUUGCUCCUCUGACGUUAGCGGCGGACGGGUGAGUAACACGUGGAUAACCUACCUAUAAGACUGGGAUAACUUCGGGAAACCGGAGCUAAUACCGGAUAAUAUAUUGAACCGCACGGUUCAAUAGUGAAAGACGGUUUUGCUGUCACUUAUAGAUGGAUCCGCGCCGCAUUAGCUAGUUGGUAAGGUAACGGCUUACCAAGGCAACGAUGCGUAGCCGACCUGAGAGGGUGAUCGGCCACACUGGAACUGAGACACGGUCCAGACUCCUACGGGAGGCAGCAGUAGGGAAUCUUCCGCAAUGGGCGAAAGCCUGACGGAGCAACGCCGCGUGAGUGAUGAAGGUCUUCGGAUCGUAAAACUCUGUUAUUAGGGAAGAACAAAUGUGUAAGUAACUAUGCACGUCUUGACGGUACCUAAUCAGAAAGCCACGGCUAACUACGUG